AAAUUAUUAUUGUUUUUAUUCAAGUUUAUUAAUACCUUACAUUCUGUUCUCUUUGCUGCUUUGCACAGAAAUACUAAAAUACAGUUACUGGUUUGUGACCGCAGGAGUGACGAGCUGUAACCAGAUCACGAUGGCAAAUAUCAUGUUCCAAGUUUGACAAGGCUUAAUGCAUGGACAUCUGCCUUCUGGGAUGACAUUUUUUGAUGGAAAAGGACAGAGACGGUGAAUGAAUCAGAGAGACAAUCAGCUGGGGCCCUCACGGAAGCAUAGCUACUAAAGUUUAUAUUUACCAGGCAUCCAAGUGCUACUUGAAUUAUCUGUAUUCCAGGUCAAAUGUCCAGAGUAGGGUGAAGACUACAGUAUAAAACAUUUGUGCUUGUGACUUAGUCUGUAGAAGAACACAAAUUCAUAAGGAAUUUUCAUGAGAGUCUACUGUUGUUAUGUGUCUGGAUCCAGGCAGAUCACCUAGACUUACUUGGCUGCACAGCACACAAGACCAGCAUGUUUGGAAUUAAAUAACAUGAGAGAAACUAAAUCAGACUGAUGACUUAAGAAAUACUUUUCAUGUUACAGGUUCAAAUACAUUUGGAUGGUGCAAGCAGUCGCAAAGGAGUUGUGCUUGAAUCUGAUGCUUGAAUGCUGUCAGGCCCUUGCUUUGGAGAUCCUUGUCCUCACUCCUUGUAGUAUCCAAGGAAGGGUAGCACUUUCAGAAAAAAAAGAAAAAAGGCAAUUGCAAUUACUUGAUUGCAGGUACCCAUCUGGCACAGAUUGUGUGUCCUCAAGACUCACUCUUUGUCUUUUUAUGGGUAUAAAAUGCUUUAAUUGUGCACAAAGUUCUCACCAGAGCUCUGGUGUCCCUUUGUUGGGGUAUGGUGCUGAGGAAGUUGGAGAAUGCAGUCAAUCUUUCUUCAGACCAUUAUCAUA